GACGUAGGGCGCGAGCGUUGUCCGGAUUUAUUGGGCGUAAAGAGCUCGUAGGCGGCUUGUCGCGUCGACUGUGAAAUCCCGCGGCUCAACUGCGGGUCUGCAGUCGAUACGGGCAGGCUAGAGUUCGGUAGGGGAGACUGGAAUUCCUGGUGUAGCGGUGAAGUGCGCAGAUAUCAGGAGGAACACCAGUGGCGAAGGCGACUACCUGGCCUGUUCUUGACGCUGAGGCGCGAAAGCUAGGGGAGCAAACGGG
rnacentral:rRNA from 1 species